rnacentral:rRNA from 1 species
AUCGCGCCGAAGAUGAUCGGGACUGAAGUCCAGAACCGAAGCCGCGGAUCGUGAAUUUAUUCACGGUGGUAGAAGAGCGUUGUAUGCGGGUCGAAGCCGAAGAGGGAUCUGAGGUGGACUGCAUACAAGUGACCAUGCAGGCAUGAGUAGCGAAAAACCGGAUGAGAAUUCCGGUCACCGAAAACCUAAGGUUUCCCGGGGAAGGUUCGUCCGCCCGGGGUUAGUCGGAACCUAAGGCGAGGCCGAAAGGCGUAGUCGAUGGAGGACAGGUUAAUAUUCCUGUACCACCUUGUUGGAGUGAUGGAGGGACGCAGUAAGUCAGGUGAGCCAACUGCUGAAUAUGUUGGUCGAAGGCCGUAGGGCGCACGAUAGGCAAAUCCGUCGUGCUUUCAACCCGAGAGUCGUAAGGUAGCCGAACGCAAGUUUGGCGAAUUCACUGUGACGACGCUGACGAGAAAAGCUUCUAAACGUUGAAACCAGGGUGCCCGUACCGAAACCGACACAGGUAGGUGAGGCGAGUAGCCUAAGGUGCGCGAGAGAAACCAACGUUAAGGAACUCGGCAAAUUGACCCCGUAACUUAGGGAUAAGGGGUGCCGCUUCAGGUGAAGGGACUUGCUCCCGGAGCCCGGAGCGGUUGCAACAAAGAGGCUGGUGCGACUGUUUAACAAAAACACAGCUCUAUGCUAACUCGCAAGAGGAUGUAUAUGGAGUGACACGUGACCAAUGCCAAAAGGUCAAUGGGAGAGGUUAGCGCAAGCGAAGCUUCGAUCUGAAGCCCUGGUGAAUGUCGGCCGUAACUAUAACGGUCCUAAGGUAGCGAAAUUCCUUGUCGGGUAAGUUCCGACCUGCACGAAUCGUGUAACGAUGCCAGCACUGUCUCAACGUGGAUCUCGGCGAAGUUGUAAUUCCGGUGAAAAUGCCGGAUACCUGCGGAAGGACGGAAAGACCCCAUGAACCUUUACUGUAAUCUGAUAUUGGUAUUUGAUUGCUCUUGUGUAGCAUAGGUGGGAGGCAGUGAAACCGCUACGCCAGUACCGGUGGAGCCACAGGUGAAAUACCACCCUGGUGUAAUUAGAUAUCUAACGGUGUCCCGUGAAUCCGGGCCCCGGACCGUGUCAGAGGGUCAGUUUGACUGGGGCGGUUUCCUCCUAAAUUGUAACGGAGGAGCCCGAAGGUACACUCAGCACGGUUGGCAAUCGUGUGCAGAGCGUAAGGGUAGAAGUGUGCUUUACUGUAAGACCGACAGGUCGAGCAGUUGCGAAAGCAGGGCCUAGUGAUCCAGCGAUGGAAUGUGGAAUCGUCGUUGCUCAACGGAUAAAAGGUACUCUGGGGAUAACAGGCUGAUCGCGCCCAAGCGUCCAUAGCGACGGCGCUGUUUGGCACCUCGAUGUCGACUCAUCACAUCCUGGGGCUGUAGAAGGUCCCAAGGGUUCGGCUGUUCGCCGAUUAAAGUGGUACGCGAGUUGGGUUCAGAACGUCGUGAGACAGUUCGGUCCUUAUCCUCCGCAGGCGCAGGAUAUUUGAUGGGAUCAUUCCUUAGUACGAGAGGACCGGGAAUGACUGACCUCUGGUGUUCCGGUUGUGGCGUCAGCUGCAUUGCCGGGUAGCUAUGUCGGGAACGGAUAAGCGCUGAAAGCAUCUAAGCGCCAAGCCCACCCAAAGACGAGAUAUCCCUUCCCGCAAGGGACUGAAGGCCGGUCGAAGACUACGACCUUGAUAGGACGGAGAUGUAAGCGCAGUAAUGCGUUCAGUUUACCGUUACUAAUCGGCCGUGAGGCUUAACCAC